GCACGGGUGCUUGCACCUGGUGGCGAGUGGCGAACGGGUGAGUAAUACAUCGGAACAUGUCCUGUAGUGGGGGAUAGCCCGGCGAAAGCCGGAUUAAUACCGCAUACGAUCUACGGAUGAAAGCGGGGGACCUUCGGGCCUCGCGCUAUAGGGUUGGCCGAUGGCUGAUUAGCUAGUUGGUGGGGUAAAGGCCUACCAAGGCGACGAUCAGUAGCUGGUCUGAGAGGACGACCAGCCACACUGGGACUGAGACACGGCCCAGACUCCUACGGGAGGCAGCAGUGGGGAAUUUUGGACAAUGGGCGAAAGCCUGAUCCAGCAAUGCCGCGUGUGUGAAGAAGGCCUUCGGGUUGUAAAGCACUUUUGUCCGGAAAGAAAUCCUUGGCUCUAAUACAGUCGGGGGAUGACGGUACCGGAAGAAUAAGCACCGGCUAACUACGUGCCAGCAGCCGCGGUAAUACGUAGGGUGCGAGCGUUAAUCGGAAUUACUGGGCGUAAAGCGUGCGCAGGCGGUUUGCUAAGACCGAUGUGAAAUCCCCGGGCUCAACCUGGGAACUGCAUUGGUGACUGGCAGGCUAGAGUAUGGCAGAGGGGGGUAGAAUUCCACGUGUAGCAGUGAAAUGCGUAGAGAUGUGGAGGAAUACCGAUGGCGAAGGCAGCCCCCUGGGCCAAUACUGACGCUCAUGCACGA
rnacentral:rRNA from 1 species